CAUUCUCACUAAAAUGAUGGGCUGAAUAGGCAAAGGAACCCAAUAUCCAAACCCUCAAAUCUUAAUCAUCCAAACAUCCACAAAAUAAACAAAACUCAAUUGGAUCUUCUUGAUUUUAAUUUUGGCGGCUGAGAAACAGCCAACAAUCAAGGAACAUAAGAUUUGAGAAAAGAAAAGCACCUAGAAAUGUUGCAUCCCCAAAAUCUUUUUGAAGUAAUCUAAUUUUUGCCGGCAUAAAAAACUAUAACAACAUGUCUGUUGCUUGGAGAUUUCAGAAUUUGGGUUUUACUUUCAGAAGUGUGGAGAAAUUUCUAGGGACUUCGCUUGCAGAUGCUAAUCUAUUAAGUAGCAAAAGAUGGCAAUUGUUAAACAGAGGAAGAAACGUCUUGUUCUUUAAAAGGCAGGAAAGAUUUGUGCACACACAUUUCCAGAUGUCAGUCCCUGGAACAUCACCUGUAAGCAAAGAAAAUAGGAUUCCGGACUAUUUGAGGGAUAAGAAAUUGGUUCCUGAUGCAUCUCCUCCUAGCAGUAAGGACAUUGACCUUUUGUAUCAGUUCUUUGAUCAGAGUGAAAAGCUGGUGGUAUUGACUGGAGCAGGAAUGAGCACCGAGUGUGGAAUCCCAGAUUAUAGAAGCCCAAAUGGAGCAUAUAGUUCUGGUUUCAAACCCAUUACCCACCAGGAGUUUGUCAGCUCAGGCAAGGCUCGCAAGCGUUAUUGGGCUAGGAGCUACGCUGGUUGGAGACGAUUUACUUCAGCACAGCCAGGGGCUGGCUAUUUUGCUUUAGCAUCCCUAGAAAAGGCUGGCAGGAUAAGCUUUAUGAUCACACAAAAUGUUGACAGGCUGCAUCAUCGAGCUGGCAGCAAUCCUCUCGAAUUACAUGGCACUGUAUACACUGUGGGUUGUCUUGAAUGUGGAUAUUCAUUUUGUCGGCACUCAUUUCAGGACCAACUAAAGGCUCUCAAUCCUAAGUGGGCGGAAGCAAUUGAUAGUUUGACUUUUGACAGCCCUGGGUCAGACAAAAGUUUUGGCAUGAGGAUCCGGCCUGAUGGUGAUAUUGACAUUGAUGAGAAAUUCUGGGAAGAAGAUUUUCACAUUCCUACUUGCCCUGAAUGUGAUGGAGUGCUGAAACCUGAUGUUAUCUUCUUUGGAGACAAUGUUCCCAAGGAUCGAGCUGAUAGAGCAAUGGAAGCAGCCAAAAGUUGUGAUGCAUUUUUGGUUAUCGGUUCAUCUGUAAUGACGUUUUCUGCCUUCAGAUUGGUGAGGGCGGCUCAUGAGGCAGGUGCAGCUACAGCAAUGAUAAAUAUUGGUUCCACCAGAGCUGAUAAUAUUGUGUCCUUGAAGAUUGGUGCUCGGUGUGCGGAGAUACUUCCGAGAUUGCUGCAUACUGGAUCUCUGUGUGUCCCGGCUGUUCAAUCAUGAUCCUCAUUGGCCUUCGUAGUAAGAUUUUGUCUCUAAUCUUCUGCAAACAGGUGUAAUAUAGACCUUGAUAACAUGAAAUAGUUGCUUAUUGAGGGAAUACUUGUCAAGUUUCCACAGUAAUGAGUUAUAUUUUCCAAUGAGACAAGCUAAGUUUGUUUUGUGACACAUAAUGUUGAUGUAUGUGAUAAACAAACAUGGUUUAUUAUAUCAUGUUUGUGGUAAAUAUUUAGUUUUAGGAGUAAAGGACUUGAUUUAGUGAACUUUACUGUAAGUAUGAUUCGUGAAAUUUGCUAAGAAUCGAGAAAGGGACAUAAUUUAUAUUUGAAGGCAAGAUUUCUAUCA